GACAGAGGAGCCAAGCGUUGUCCGGAUUGACUGGGCGUAAAGCGCACGCAGGCGGCUCAGCGCGUGGGGUGUGGAAAGGUCGGCGGCCUCAACUGCCACACGCCAUCCCAUACGGCUGGGCUCGAGCCAUGCAGAGGUCCACGGAAUUGCCGGUGUAGUGGUGAAAUGCGUAGAGAUCGGCAGGAACACCUAGGGGGAAACCAGCUGGACUGG
rnacentral:rRNA from 1 species